rnacentral:rRNA from 1 species
AGAGUUUGAUCCUGGCUCAGAUUGAACGCUGGCGGCAGGCCUAACACAUGCAAGUCGAGCGGAUGAGUGGAGCUUGCUCCAUGAUUCAGCGGCGGACGGGUGAGUAAUGCCUAGGAAUCUGCCUGGUAGUGGGGGACAACGUUUCGAAAGGAACGCUAAUACCGCAUACGUCCUACGGGAGAAAGCAGGGGACCUUCGGGCCUUGCGCUAUCAGAUGAGCCUAGGUCGGAUUAGCUAGUAGGUGAGGUAAUGGCUCACCUAGGCGACGAUCCGUAACUGGUCUGAGAGGAUGAUCAGUCACACUGGAACUGAGACACGGUCCAGACUCCUACGGGAGGCAGCAGUGGGGAAUAUUGGACAAUGGGCGAAAGCCUGAUCCAGCCAUGCCGCGUGUGUGAAGAAGGUCUUCGGAUUGUAAAGCACUUUAAGUUGGGAGGAAGGGCAGUAAGUUAAUACCUUGCUGUUUUGACGUUACCAACAGAAUAAGCACCGGCUAACUUCGUGCCAGCAGCCGCGGUAAUACGAAGGGUGCAAGCGUUAAUCGGAAUUACUGGGCGUAAAGCGCGCGUAGGUGGUUCAGCAAGUUGGAGGUGAAAUCCCCGGGCUCAACCUGGGAACUGCCUCCAAAACUACUGAGCUAGAGUACGGUAGAGGGUAGUGGAAUUUCCUGUGUAGCGGUGAAAUGCGUAGAUAUAGGAAGGAACACCAGUGGCGAAGGCGACUACCUGGACUGAUACUGACACUGAGGUGCGAAAGCGUGGGGAGCAAACAGGAU